rnacentral:rRNA from 1 species
UACAGAGGUCCCGAGCGUUGUUCGGAUUUAUUGGGCGUAAAGGGUGCGUAGGCGGCGGAGUAAGUUGGGUGUGAAAUCCCGGGGCUCAACCUCGGAAUUGCAUUCAAUACUGCUUCGCUCGAGUACUGGAGAGGAGACUGGAAUUCAUGGUGUAGCAGUGAAAUGCGUAGAGAUCAUGAGGAAGACCAGUGGCGAAGGCGGCGCACUGGACGGUAACUGACACUCAACUGCGAAAGCGUGGGGAGCAAACAGG